GAUGAAGAACGUAGCGAAAUGCGAUACUUGGUGUGAAUUGCAGAAUCCCGUGAACCAUCGAGUCUUUGAACGCAAGUUGCGCCCGAAGCCAUCAGGUUGAGGGCACGUCUGCCUGGGCGUCACAUAUCGUUGCUCGAUGCCUAUCGCAUUGCGAUAGGACUUAGGGCGAAUGAUGGCUUCCCGUGAGCAUUGUUGCCUCGCGGUUGGUUGAAAAUCGAGUCCUUGGUAGGGUGUGCCAUGAUAGAUGGUGGUCGAGUUAGCACGAGACUGAUCAUGUGCAUGCUCCCCAAAAUAUGGCCUCUGUGACCCCCACGCGUCUUUUGACGCUCAUGACGAGACCUCAGGUCAGGCGGGGCUACCCGCUGAAUUUAAGCAUAUCAAUAAGCGGAGGA
rnacentral:misc_RNA from 1 species